rnacentral:rRNA from 1 species
GAUGAACGCUGGCGGUAUGCCUAACACAUGCAAGUCGUACGAGAGUUUUUAACUCUAGUGGCGGACGGGUGAGUAACACGUGAGAAUUUGCCUUUAGGAGGGGGACAACAAUUGGAAACGAAUGCUAAUACCCCAUAUGCUUUCGAGUGAAAUGGAUUUUAUCCGCCUAGAGAGAAGCUCGCGGCUGAUUAGCUUGUUGGUAAGGUAAGAGCUUACCAAGGCGACGAUCAGUAUCUGGUUUGAGAGGACGAUCAGACACACUGGAACUGAGACACGGUCCAGACUCCUACGGGAGGCAGCAGUGGGGAAUUUUCCGCAAUGGGCGAAAGGCCUGACGGAGCAAUACCGCGUGAGGGAAGAAUGCCUAUGGGUUGUAAACCUCUUUUUCUAGGGUAGGAAUAAAAUGACGUGUACCUGAAGAAUAAGCAUCGGCUAACUCCGUG